AACAAAACACAGCGUGGAGGAGACGACUGCGAGCGAGACAUUUACAAACCAACUUAUGGAUCCAGCGCGUGGAAACAUUUUGGCUUUUGCAAACACGUCGGUCGCUGUUUGUAGAAUAUGUAGAAGCCAAAUAAAAAACCACGGAAACACGACGAAUCUUUCCGGCCAUCUACUAAGGCGCCGUGGGAUGAAACAACGCCGACAGUCAGGACCUCUAGCAGCGUCACCGCUGCAGCAGCAGCAGGUUGAGGUCACCCUCCACACAAAAGAAUAAAAACUACAAGUCCCAGACAGAAAGGCUGUCAGGGAAGCCACGCAGCAGCGGCCCCAGACAGAAGGCCGGCCAUGACAAUGAAGCUGGAGCCCUGCAGGAACCGCUCCCUCUGCUGGCCAGGCACAGAGGGAACCCCAAAACCCUGCAAGACAACCUGACUCCAUCCUGUGUGGUACAAUUACAUCGCCCGAAACAUUACAGUUGGUUUCGGUGUCGCUGAAGUCAUCAGGGUCACCUCCCUCCAUAGUUGUUGGCUGGGCGCUUCCAGCUGAAAAAUGGAGCCUUUCUGGACUGGAGGCGUAUAUGAACAGAGAUAGCUUGACACCGCCAUUUGUUCGCCUCAGGAAAUGGCAGCCAAAUUCCUGGGAAAUGAAUGAAGAGGAAAUCUGCGAGUGGCAGCCUACCACGAGAUCGCUCUGAAAGGAGAGGGUGGAAAAGACAUGGCCCCUUUCUGCAACAUGGACCCGGGCCAGGGCUCACUAGAGCACCGAGAUGAAGAGUUACAGCACCUCUCAAACCCAACCGGCUGGAGUGAUAAAUACCCGGCUCUAAUGCACAUGCUUAAGAGUUUUUGACUGUAAAUAAAGUCAUGGGAGACAUGUUGUACUUACAUGGAGAAAAGCCUUGAGGAAAUGGCUUCCCCCCUUGAAAGCGACGAAUGGGUGUGUAUGUCUGCAGCCAAUCAGGAUGUAACUUCAUGAAGCCUGUUUUUUUAUCCCCGGUGGCCUCGUUGCUUUUUUUUUUUCCUCUUGCGUGUGAUAACGUCACUUAAUAUUUCUUAAUAUAUGAUCCAACCAUAUUUGACUCAUAUUAAUUAAAUCCUUUCUCAGAUGUUCAAUUUUUAAAAUAAAUGAACAAAGUCGUCUUUCUUUACUAUAAAAGAGGCAAAGGAAACUGUCAUGUGAGUAUUGUCAGAUGAUUGGGAGGAC
ensembl:lncRNA